CCUACGGGAGGCUGCAGUGGGGAAUAUUGGACAAUGGGCGAAAGCCUGAUCCAGCCAUGCCGCGUGUGUGAAGAAGGCCUUCGGGUUGUAAAGCACUUUCAGUGGGGAAGAAAGCCUUGGGGCUAAUACCCUCGAGGAAGGACAUCACCCACAGAAGAAGCACCGGCUAACUCCGUGCCAGCAGCCGCGGUAAUACGGAGGGUGUGAGCGUUAAUCGGAAUUACUGGGCGUAAAGCGCGCGUAGGCGGUCUGAUAAGCCGGUUGUGAAAGCCCCGGGCUCAACCUGGGAACGGCAUCCGGAACUGUCAGGCUAGAGUGCAGGAGAGGAAGGGAGAAUUCCCGGUGUAGCGGUGAAAUGCGUAGAGAUCGGGAGGAAUACCAGUGGAGAAGGCGGCCUUCUGGACUGACACUGACGCUGAGGUGCGAAAGCGUGGGUAGCAAACAGGAUUAGAUACCCCUGUAGUC
rnacentral:rRNA from 1 species